CCUACGGGAGGCAGCAGUGGGGAAUAUUGGACAAUGGGCGCAAGCCUGAUCCAGCCAUGCCGCGUGAGUGAAGAAGGCCUUCGGGUUGUAAAGCUCUUUUGUUGGGGAAGAAAUGCUGUCGGUUAAUACUCGGCGGGGAUGACGGUACCCAAAGAAUAAGCACCGGCUAACUUCGUGCCAGCAGCCGCGGUAAUACGAAGGGUGCAAGCGUUACUCGGAAUUACUGGGCGUAAAGCGUGCGUAGGUGGUUCGUUAAGUCUGAUGUGAAAGCCCUGGGCUCAACCUGGGAACUGCAUUGGAUACUGGCGAUCUGGAGUGCGGUAGAGGGUAGCGGAAUUCCCGGUGUAGCAGUGAAAUGCGUAGAUAUCGGGAGGAACAUCCGUGGCGAAGGCGGCUACCUGGACCAGCACUGACACUGAGGCACGAAAGCGUGGGGAGCAAACAGGAUUAGAUACCCUGGUAGUCCACGCCCUAAACGAUGCGAACUGGAUGUUGGGUGCAACUUGGCACUCAGUAUCGAAGCUAACGCGUUAAGUCGCCGCCUGGGAAGU
rnacentral:rRNA from 1 species